AACGAGCGAGACCCACGCCCACAGUUGCCAGCGUACUCUCUGGAGUGACGGGUACACGUGUGGGGACCGGCCGCUGCUAAAGCGGAGGAAGGAAUGGGCCAACGGUAGGUCAGUAUGCCCCGAAUAUCCCGGGCUACACGCGAGCUACAAUGGUUGGUACAAUGGGUAUCUACCCCGAAAGGGGACGGGAAUCUCCUAAAACCAAUCUUAGUUCGGAUUGAGGGCUGCAACUCGCCCUCAUGAAGCUGGAAUCCGUAGUAAUCGCGUUUCAACAGAACGCGGUGAAUACGUCCCUGCUCCUU
rnacentral:rRNA from 1 species